rnacentral:misc_RNA from 1 species
UCCGAGUUGACCCCGGCAGUAUCCCAUGAGUUCCCACCAUUACGUGCUGGCAACAUAGAACGAGGGUUGCGGUCGUUGCGGGACUUAACCCAACAUCUCACGACACGAGCUGACGACAACCAUGCACCACCUGUCCACCAGCCCCGAAGGGAAACCCCAUCUCUGGGGCGGUCCGGUGAAUGUCAAGCCUUGGUAAGGUUCUUCGCGUUGCAUCGAAUUAAUCCGCAUGCUCCGCCGCUUGUGCGGGCCCCCGUCAAUUCCAUUGAGUUUUAGCCUUGCGGCCGUACUCCCCAGGCGGGGCACUUAAUGCGUUAGCUACGGCACGGAGGGAGUUGACGUCCCCCCACACCUAGUGCCCAACGUUUACGGCGUGGACUAC